rnacentral:rRNA from 1 species
AGUGAACGCUGGCGGCGUGCCUAAUACAUGCAAGUCGAACGGAGUGGCGCACGGGUGAGUAAUAUAUAGCUAAUAUGCCCCUUGCUGGAGGACAACAGUUAGAAAUGACUGCUAAUAAUCCAUAGCAAGGGAUGAGACUAUAUCGUAUCAGCUAGUCGGUGGGGUAACGGCCUACCGAGGCUAUGACGCGUAACUGGGCUGUGAGGAUGAUCAGUCACAUUGGAGCUGAGACACGGUGCAAACUCCUCCGGGAGGCAGCAGUAGGGGAUAUUGCGCAAUGGGGUAAGCCCUGACGCACCAACGCCGCGUGAAGUAUGACACUUUUCGGAGCGUAAAUUCCUUUUAAUAGGGAGGCGGUACCUAACGAAUAAGCCACGGCUAACUACGUGCCAGCAGCCGCGGUAAUUC